AGCGAACGCUGGCGGCAGGCUUAACACAUGCAAGUCGAACGGGCACUUCGGUGUCAGUGGCAGACGGGUGAGUAACGCGUGGGAACAUACCUCUUGGUUCGGAACAACACAGGGAAACUUGUGCUAAUACCGGAUAAGCCCUUACGGGGAAAGAUUUAUCGCCGAGAGAUUGGCCCGCGUCUGAUUAGCUAGUUGGUGUGGUAAAAGCGCACCAAGGCGGCGAUCAGUAGCUGGCUGAGAGGAUGAUCAGCCACAUUGGGACUGAGACACGGCCCAAACUCCUACGGGAGGCAGCAGUGGGGAAUAUUGGACAAUGGGCGCAAGCCUGAUCCAGCCAUGCCGCGUGAGUGAUGAAGGCCCUAGGGUUGUAAAGCUC
rnacentral:rRNA from 1 species